rnacentral:rRNA from 1 species
UGGCUGUCGUCAGCUCGUGUCGUGAGAUGUUGGGUUAAGUCCCGUAACGAGCGCAACCCUUGUCCUUAGUUACCAGCACGUUAUGGUGGGCACUCUAAGGAGACUGCCGGUGACAAACCGGAGGAAGGUGGGGAUGACGUCAAGUCAUCAUGGCCCUUACGGCCUGGGCUACACACGUGCUACAAUGGUCGGUACAAAGGGUUGCCAAGCCGCGAGGUAGAGCUAAUCCCAUAAAACCGAUCGUAGUCCGGAUCGCAGUCUGCAACUCGACUGCGUGAAGUCGGAAUCGCUAGUAAUCGUGAAUCAGAAUGUCACGGUGAAUACGUUCCCGGGCCUU